rnacentral:rRNA from 1 species
GACGAACCGUGCGAACGUUGUUCGGAAUCACUGGGCUUAAAGGGCGCGUAGGCGGGAUGGCAAGUCGGUCGUGAAAUCCCUCGGCUCAACUGAGGAGCGUCGAUCGAAACUGCCGUUCUUGAGGGUUGCAGAGGAGACUGGAAUUCCCGGUGUAGCGGUGAAAUGUGUAGAGAUCGGGAGGAACACCGGUGGCGAAGGCGGGUCUCUGGGCAACUCCUGACGCUGAGGCGCGAAAGCGUGGGGAGCAAACGGG